rnacentral:rRNA from 1 species
UACGUAGGCAGCGAGCGUUGUUCGGAGUUACUGGGCGUAAAGCGUGCGUAGGCGGUGUCUUAAGUUUGUUGUGAAAUCUCCCGGCUUAACCGGGAGGGUGCGGCGAAUACUGAGAUGCUGGAGUGCGGGAGAGGUAAGCGGAAUUCCUGGUGUAGCGGUGAAAUGCGCAGAUAUCAGGAAGAACACCAAUGGCGAAGGCAGCUCUCUGGGACGGUACUGACGCUGAGACGCGAAAGCGUGGGGAGCGAACAGG